AUACGUAGGGGGCGAGCGUUGUCCGGAAUGAUUGGGCGUAAAGGGCGCGUAGGCGGCCGCUUAAGUCUGGAGUGAAAGUCCUGUUUUCAAGAUGGGAAUUGCUUUGGAUACUGGGGGGCUUGAGUGCAGGAGAGGUUAUCGGAAUUCCCGGUGUAGCGGUGAAAUGCGUAGAGAUCGGGAGGAACACCAGUGGCGAAGGCGGGUAACUGGACUGCAACUGACGCUGAGGAGCGAAAGUGUGGGGAGCAAACGGGAUUAGAUACCCCUGUAGUCCUGGGCGUAUACGAUGAAUGCUAGGUGUGGGUGUCGACGCCCUCUGUGCCGCAGUUAACACAAUAAGUAUUCCGCCUGGGGAGUACGGCCGCAAGGUUGAAACUCAAAUGAAUUGACGGGG
rnacentral:rRNA from 1 species